GUGAGUGUAGCGAAGUGGUCAAACGCACUGGACUGUAAACCCAGCGACUUAGGUCUACGUUGGUUCAAAUCCAACCGCUCACA
rnacentral:tRNA from 1 species